UACGUAGGGUGCAAGCGUUGUCCGGAAUUAUUGGGCGUAAAGAGCUCGUAGGCGGUUUGUCGCGUCUGCUGUGAAAACCCGGAGCUCAACUCCGGGCCUGCAGUCGAUACGGGCAAACUGGAGUGUUGCAGGGGAGACUGGAAUUCCUGGUGUAGAGGUGAAAUUCGUAGAUAUCGGGAGGAACACCGGUGGCGAAGGCGGCGACCUGGGUAGAUACUGACGCUGAGGUGCGAAAGCGUGGGGAGCAAACAGG
rnacentral:rRNA from 1 species